AGAAUAGAUAAUGAUUUUAUAAUGUAUAAACCGACAAAAUCGAUAAGAUAAAAAUGCGCGUAUCUAACUUGGAAAAUAUAGAACAAAUAAAAUAUAGGUAAACGAUAAAACAAUUUUUAAAAAAUACAUCUUAUUUUGUCGUACCUACGUCGGUUUUUAUUGUGCAGUAGAUCAGGCACACCGGGAUUAGUCGUGCGAAAAAGAAUCAUGAAACGGCGUCCUCGUCGU